rnacentral:rRNA from 1 species
AGAUUGAACGCUGGCGGUAUGCUUAACACAUGCAAGUCGAACGGCAGCACAGGGUAGCUUGCUAUCCGGGUGACGAGUGGCGGACGGGUGAGUAACGCGUAGGAAUCUACCUUUUCGUGGGGGAUAACCCGGGGAAACUCGGGCUAAUACCGCAUACGAUCUAAGGAUGAAAGCAGGGGACCGCAAGGCCUUGUGCUCCUGGAGCGGCCGAUAUCUGAUUAGCUAGUUGGGUAGGUAAAGGCCUACAAGGCUACGAUCAGUAGCUGGUCUGAGAGGACGACCAGCCACACUGGAACUGAGACACGGUCCAGACUCCGUACGGGAGGCAGCAGGUAGGGAAUUUUGGAACUAAGUGGGACGCGAAGCCUGAU